rnacentral:misc_RNA from 1 species
GGGGCUCCACCCCUAAUAGAAAGUGACUAUAAUAUCCAUUAAAAUAAGGUGUAAAAACGAGAAGAGGAGAGAAUGUGACAGUGAUGUGUGUAUGUGUGUGUGUGAAGAAAUAAUUUUCUAAAAUGUGUUUGCAAUUUGUUUUAAUAGAGGAGAAUUCAGUGCUUGUGAAUGAGCAAUGAAUUUACAGUGCAAUAACAAUAAGCUACUUUCAAAAAUUACUGGAAUCAUAAUGCAGUACAUCAAGAAGGAAUAGAGGGAGUGAGAGACCCUAAUCCACCUUAUCAGACAAAGAAACAGCUACCCUAACCAUAGCC